rnacentral:rRNA from 1 species
CCCUGCCAUUUGUACACACCGCCCGUCGCUCCUACCGAUUGAAUGAUCCGGUGAGGCCCCCGGACUGCGGCUCCGUCGCUGGUUCUCCAGCUUUGGGGUUGCGGGAAGCUGUCCGAACCUUAUCAUUUAGAGGAAGGAGAAGUCGUAACAAGG